AGAGUUUGAUCCUGGCUCAGGAUGAACGCUAGCUACAGGCUUAACACAUGCAAGUCGAGGGGAAACGACAUCGAAAGCUUGCUUUUGAUGGGCGUCGACCGGCGCACGGGUGAGUAACGCGUAUCCAACCUGCCCAUCACUUGGGGAUAACCUUGCGAAAGUAAGACUAAUACCCAAUGACGUCUCUAGAAGACAUCUGAAAGAGAUUAAAGAUUUAUCGGUGAUGGAUGGGGAUGCGUCUGAUUAGCUUGUUGGCGGGGUAACGGCCACCAAGGCGACGAUCAGUAGGGGUUCUGAGAGGAAGGUCCCCCACAUUGGGACUGAGAUACGGCCCAGACUCCUACGGGAGGCA
rnacentral:rRNA from 1 species